ACUUCUUAUUUGGUCUCCUAUAUAAUAUAUCCAUAAUAUGCUAAGUGAGUCAAAGGAAUCAGUGAUGUCUUAAUGUUAAUAAAUAUAAUUUUUUUCUUAAAACUGACUUACUCAAUAAUCACUUCAAUUUAAGGUUCUUAAUUAUCUCAAUUAUAAGUAUUUGAUUGAAUAAUCAAUUAGUGAAUAAUAAAGUCAAGUAAUCCAAUAUGUCCCGAUUUAUUCUUCUUACU
rnacentral:lncRNA from 1 species